GCCUGGUUGGCUCACUGGUUAGAGCAUGAGAGUCUUGAUCUUGGGGUUGUGAGUUCGAGUCCCACAUUGUAUA
rnacentral:tRNA from 1 species